AAAAAGAAUCAAGAAUCCAGUCUUGAGGAGCAGUAGAAGUCGAGUUACACCAUUUACAAGUUAAGACUCUUGUGCAGGGAAAAGCAAGCUAAGGUAGUCCGAGGGAUGAGCUGUAGUGAAGUCAUGUCUCAACUGUCAUAGUGGAUGCAAGCUUGAACAUGAUCAUAUUUUGCAACUUACUUCUGCUUUAUGAACACUGUUUAACUUUAUUUUAUAA